CCAAUCGAACCCGGAGAUAGCUGGUUCUCCUCGAAAUAGCUUUAGGGCUAGCCUCAUACAAGUCUUGCGGAGGUAGAGCACUGAAUUUCCUAGGGGGCGUCAAAGCUUACCGAAGAAUAUCAAACUCCGAAUGCCGUGUAGAUGUUGUAUGGGAGUCAGACUGUACGAGAUAAGUUGGACAGUCAAAAGGGAAAGAGCCCAGACCGCCGGCUAAGGUCCCAAAGUGGGUGUUAAGUGGAAAAGGAUGUGGGAUCUCUAAGACAACCAGGAUGUUGGCUCAGAAGCAGCCAUUCAUUAAAAGAGUGCGUAACAGCUCACUGGUCGAGAGGUCCUGCGCCGAAAAUGUCCGGGGCUGAAACACCACACCGAAGCCGCGGAACCCGUAAGGGUUGGUAGAGGAGCAUUCUUAGGGGAGCGAAGCAUUACCGGAAGGGGAUGUGGACCGCUAAGAAGAGAGAAUGCCGGAAUGAGUAGCGAGAGCAAGGUGAGAAUCCUUGCGGCCGAAUAUCCAAGGUUUCCAGAGUAAAGCUGAUCUGCUCUGGGUAAGUCGGGGCCUAAGGAGAGGCAGAGAUGCGUAUCCGAUGGACAGCAGGUUUAAGAUUCCUGCACCCCUUGUUAUCAGAACUGCGGGGACACGGGAAGGGAAGCAGAGCCGGGAAUGGAAAGCCCGGUGCAAGCGAAGUAGUCGCAGGGUUGGAAAAUCCGCCCUGCAUGAGACGAAGGCGUGAUGCGGAGCGAAAUGAAGUAGUGAAGCUGCGGCCCCUUCCUGUCGAGAAAAGCCGCUAUCGUGUAGCAAGGGCCCGUACCGUAAACCGACACAGGUGGAUGAGGAGAGGAUCCUAAGGCCGGCGGGAGAAGUGUUGUUAAGGAACUCGGCAAAAUGACUCCGUAACUUCGGGAGAAGGAGUGCUGCGCAAGCAGCCGCAGAGAAAUGGCCCAAGCAACUGUUUAGCAAAAACACAGGUCUAUGCGAAACCGAAAGGUGAGGUAUAUGGGCUGACGCCUGCCCGGUGCUGGAAGGUUAAGGGGAGAGGUUAGCGCAAGCGAAGCUUUGAACUUAAGCCCCAGUAAACGGCGGCCGUAACUAUAACGGUCCUAAGGUAGCGAAAUUCCUUGUCGGGUAAGUUCCGACCCGCACGAAAGGCGUAAUGAUUUGGGCACUGUCUCAACAAUGCACCCGGUGAAAUUGAAAUACCAGUGAAGAUGCUGGUUACCCGCGCCAGGACGGAAAGACCCCAUGGAGCUUUACUCCAGCCUGAUACUGGGAUUCGGUAUUGCAUGUACAGGAUAGGUGGGAGGCUAAGAACUCAUGGCGCCAGCCGUGAGGGAGCCGAUGUUGGGAUACCACCCCUGCAGUACUGGGUUUCUAACCUGCGCCCGUGACCCGGGCGGGGGACAAUGUCAGGCGGGGAGUUUGACUGGGGCGGUCGCCUCCGAAAGGGUAUCGGAGGCGCUCAAAGGUUCCCUCAGAAUGGUUGGAAACCAUUCGAAGAGUGCAAAGGCAGAAGGGAGCUUGACUGCGACACCGACGGGUGGAGCAGGUACGAAAGUAGGACUUAGUGAUCCGGUGGUAUAAAGUGGGAUUGCCAUCGCUCAACGGAUAAAAGCUACCCUGGGGAUAACAGGCUUAUCACUCCCAAGAGUUCACAUCGACGGAGUGGUUUGGCACCUCGAUGUCGGCUCAUCGCAUCCUGGAGCUGGAGCAGGUUCCAAGGGUUGGGCUGUUCGCCCAUUAAAGCGGUACGCGAGCUGGGUUCAGAACGUCGUGAGACAGUUCGGUCCCUAUCCGGCGCGGGCGGAGGAUAUUUGAGAGGAGCUGUCCUUAGUACGAGAGGACCGGGAUGGACGGACCACUGGUGUAUCUGUUGUCGACCAACGGCAUGGCAGAGUAGCCAAGUCUGGAAGGGAUAAACGCUGAAGGCAUCUAAGCGUGAAGCCCCCCUAAAGAUAAGAUUUCCCAUACCGAAAGGUAGUAAGACCCCUUGAAGACGACGAGGUAGAUAGGGCAGAGGUGGAAGUACGGUAACGUAUGGAGCUGACUGUUACUAAUCGGUCGAGGCUUUAACCAA
rnacentral:rRNA from 1 species